rnacentral:rRNA from 1 species
UACGAAGGGGGCUAGCGUUGUUCGGAUUUACUGGGCGUAAAGCGCACGUAGGCGGAUCGUUAAGUCGGGGGUGAAAUCCUGGAGCUCAACUCCAGAACUGCCUUUGAUACUGAAGAUCUUGAGUCCGGGAGAGGUGAGUGGAACUGCGAGUGUAGAGGUGAAAAUUCGUAGAUAUUCGGAAGAACACCAGUGGCGAAGGCGACUUACUGGACACAUAUUGACGCUGAGGUGCGAAAGCGUGGGGAGCAAACAGGG